GUGCCAGCCGCCGCGGUAAUACGGAGGGUGCAAGCGUUAAUCGGAAUUACUGGGCGUAAAGCGCACGCAGGCGGUUUGUUAAGUCAGAUGUGAAAUCCCCGCGCUUAACGUGGGAACUGCAUUUGAAACUGGCAAGCUAGAGUCUUGUAGAGGGGGGUAGAAUUCCAGGUGUAGCGGUGAAAUGCGUAGAGAUCUGGAGGAAUACCGGUGGCGAAGGCGGCCCCCUGGACAAAGACUGACGCUCAGGUGCGAAAGCGUGGGGAGCAAACAGGAUUAGAUACCCUGGUAGUCCACGCUGUAAACGAUGUCGACUUGGAGGUUGUGCCCUUGAGGCGUGGCUUCCGGAGCUAACGCGUUUAAGCGACCGCCUGGGGAGUACGGCCGCAAGGUUAAAACUCAAAUGAAUUGACGGGGCCCGCACAAGCGGUGGAGCAUGUGGUUAAUUCGAAGCAACGCGAAGAACCUUACCAAGGUCCUUGACAUACUCGUG
rnacentral:rRNA from 1 species